CAGUAGCCGCGGUAAUACAGAGGAUGCAAGCGUUAUCCGGAAUGAUUGGGCGUAAAGCGUCUGUAGGUGGCUUUUCAAGUCCACCGUCAAAUCCCAGGGCUCAACCCUGGACAGGCGGUGGAAACUACCAAGCUGGAGUACGGUAGGGGCAGAGGGGAUUUCCGGUGGAGCAGUGAAAUGCAUUGAGAUCAGAAAGAACACCAACGGCGAAAGCACUCUGCUGGGCCGACACUGACACUGAGAGACGAAAGCUAGGGGAGCAAAUGGAAUUAGAUACCCCCGUAGUCCCUGUCUCUUAUAC
rnacentral:rRNA from 1 species